rnacentral:ncRNA from 1 species
UUAAAUGCGUUGAUAGGGAGAAAGCGCUGACUUAUAGUGCUUUAGAGAGCUGUUGGUUGCUGAAAAACAGUGCACAGGUCAGAAUGUGAACUCGCCCUGGAGCAGUCAGCUGAAAGUUUACAGGAUGUUUUUUCUGGAAAUCAGUAGGCGGAGACCGGUUUCUCACCGUUAAAUAGAGAGGCAUUCAUGAAAUUAUGGAUGCAGUAAGUGGGUAUGUUAAGUACCAAGAAGAGUGGUACCACGGAAGUGUUGUGCUUUCGUCUCUGGC